rnacentral:rRNA from 1 species
UACGUAGGAGACGAGCGUUGUCCGGAGUUACUGGGCGUAAAGGGGGCGCAGGCGGUGCGUUUGGUGGGGGGUGAAAUCUCUCGGCUCAACUGGGAGGGGGCCUUCCAAACGGGCGCACUUAGAGGCGUGGAGAGGGACGUGGAACUCCGGGUGGAGCGGUGAAAUGCGUAGAGAUCCGGAAGAACACCGACGGCGCAGGCAGCGUCCUGGCCACGACCUGACGCUGAGGCCCGAAAGCUGGGGGAGCAAACAGG